CUGUUAAUGAGUGACUGUCUUCAGGUAAAUGAUCUGGAGUGUGUUUGCAUAUUGAUCAGAUGCUUCAGUGCUCUGAGAGUGUUUAUAGUGCUGUGAGUUUAACACUUCAUCACUGACACACACAACAAUCUUCAUCAACAUGACCUUCAUCAUCAUCUUCAUCUGGACUCUCACAGCAUUUGCUCAAGAGUGUAGAGGACAGAUCACCGUCACUCAGAGUCCCUCAAUGACAGCAGCUCAACCAGGAGAAACAGUCAAAAUCAACUGUAGAACCAGCAGAGAUGUAUACAGUUGGUAUGGGACAUACUAUUUCAGCUGGUACUUACAGAAACCUGGAGAAGCUCCUAAACUCCUGAUUUAUUAUGCAAACCGCCUCCAGUCAGGAACUCCAUCUAGAUUCAGUGGCAGUGGAUCUAACAGUGAUUUCACUUUGACCAUCAGUGGAGUCCAGACUGAAGAUGCUGGACAUUAUUACUGUCAGAGUUUCCACUGCAGAACAAAUUCUCGAAAUAGUUGUGUGGGUGAUUAUGUGUUCACACAGUGAUAAAGAGUCGUACAAAAACCUCCGUCAGUCAGAGUCACAGUGACUGAACUGAUUCUGCAGCUGCUCAAACACUAUCACUCACUACUGACACACAGAGACCAAACACAGGA